rnacentral:tRNA from 1 species
GGCGGCGUAGCUCAGCUGGCUAGAGCGUACGGUUCAUACCCGUAAGGUCGGGGGUUCGAGCCCCUCUGCCGCUAC